UUCUGCAGUUUCCUUUUCUCUUGUCUGUUCUUCAGCUAUGUGUUCCUGUUCCAGUUCCAACAACCCCUCAUUCAUCGGUUCCUUAGGAACCACCUCUAGGACCUCCUCAGAAGGCUGAGGCAGGAGGAUCACUUGAGCCCAGGAGUUCGAGGCUGCACCGAGCUAUGAUUGCACCACUGUGCUCCAGCCUGGGAGACAAAGCAAGACCUUGUCUCUAAAAAUAAAAAUCAGGCCAGGCGCAGUGGCUCACGCCUGUAACCCCAACACUUUGGGAGACCGAGAUGGGCGGAUCGCUUGCACUCAGGAGUUUGAGACCAGCCUGGGCAACAUGGUGAAACCCCGUCUCUACCAAAAAUACAAAAGUUAGCUAGGUGUGAUGCCGCAUGCCUGUAAUCCCACCUACUCAGGGGUGGGGAAGGCUGAGUCAGGAGAAGCACUUGAACCUGGGAGGCGGAGGCUGCAGUGAGCCGAGAUUGUACCACUGCACUCCACCCUGGGCAACAGAGUGAGACUCUGUUUCAAAAAAAUAAAUAAAUAAAAAAUAAAAAUCAAUUAAUUAAAAGCAUGUAUUUUUCUAAAAUAAAUAAAUAAAAUAACAAUUAAAAUGCACAGCAUAGGCCGGGUACAGUGGCUCAUACCUAUAAUCCCAGCACUUUGGGAGGCCAAGGUAGGAGAAUUGCUUGAAGCCCGGAGUACAAAACCAGCCUGGCAACAAAGUGAGACCCUUGUCUCUACAAAAUAAAAUAAAAAUUCAAAGUAAGUACAGUAUAGUAAAUACAUAACCCAGUAAUAUAGUCGCUAAUUAUCAUUAUCAAGUAUUACGUACUGUACAUAAUUGUGUGUGCUAUACUUUUAUAUGACUGGCAGCACAGAUUUGUUUACAUCAGCAUUCGCCUGGCUAAUUUUUUUGUAUUUUCAGUAGAGAUGGGGUUGCACCGUGUUAGCCAGGAUGGUCUCGAUCUCCUGACCUCGUGAUCCACCUGCCUCAGCCUCCCAAAGUGCUAGGAUUACAGGCGUGAGCCACUGCACCCGGCUUAUUUUUCUUUCUUUCUUUCUUUUUUUUUUUGAGAUGGAAUUUUGCUCACAUCCAGCCUACAGUGACUUUAAGACUUCUACCACAUCACCAGAAGAUAGGAAUUUUUCAGCUCAAUUAUAAUGUUAUGGGACCACUGUUUGUAAGUGAACUGUCAUUGACAGAAACAACAUUAUGUGGCACAUAACUGUAUUUAGGAGUAGAAUUCCUAGGUCAUAGAGGAUGUAUAUAUUCAUUACUAAAAUAUCUUUAAUAGAUAUUGCCAGACAAUUUUCCAACGUGGGUAUACCAAUUCACCCUCCCAUCUGAGGCACCAGAGGUUUUUAACAUUCUGCAGGUGAUUCUAAUAUUCAGCCAAGGCUAAGAAGCACUGCCUUGCAGUGUUGAUGAUAACUUUAGGGAGGGCUCUGAUGGAGAGCUAUGAGAACCUGUAAUGACGAGGCUUGAUCCAGGAAGGAAGGAAGGAAGAGGUCCCAGAAGGGGUGCUUGGUUGAUCUCUGAGGGUUCACUCUAAGAGGCCAGAUGGUAAGGAAGGCUAGCACAGCUGCAGCACAGGGAGAGUGGUUGGAGACUGUGGGGCAGAGAGGCAGGCAGGGGCUAGAAAAUACCAGGCUUUCAAGGCCAUGUCAAGGAUUAUCUUUUUAUCCUUUUAUUUGGAAAUAAGGCUGGGUGUGGUGGCUCAUGCUUGUAAUCCCAGCACUUUGGGAGGCUGAGGCGGGUGGAUCACGAGGUCAGGAGAUCGAGACCAGCCUGGUCAAUAUGGUGAAACCCCAUCUCUACUAAAAAUACAAAUAAAUAAAACUAUCUCAAAAAAUAAAUAAAAUAAAAUCAUUUUGAAAUAAUUUUAAGCUGAUAGAAAAGUUGCAAAAAUAAUAGAGAAGUCCCUUGUGUAUCCUUUACACAAGUUCCCCUCAUGUUAAAACUCACAUAAGUAUCAUAAAAUGAUCAGAACCAGGAAAACAGCAGUACAGUAUCACUAACCAAACUACAGUGCUUAGUCACAUUUCACCAGUUUUCCCCCAAUGUCUUUUUCCUGUUUCAGGAUCCAAUCCAGGGUCCACAUUGCAUUUAGUUGCUGUCUCCCUCAUCUCCUCCAAUCUAUGUCAGUUCUUCAGGUUUGCCUCAUGGCCUUGACACAUUUUAAGAGUACUGGUCAGUUAGGAUGUAGAGUGUCUUGCAAUUUUGGCUUGUCUGACAUUUUCUCAGGGUUAGAUCAAGGUUGUAAAUUUCUGGCAAGAAUUCCACAGAAGUUAUCUUAAUACUGGCACUAUUAACCUCAGUCACUUCAUUUCCUUGGUGUCUGCCAGGUUUUCCCAUUGCAAAGUGACUGUUUUGACAUUUUUACUAAGAAAAAAGGGAUGGUGUUGAAGGAUUUGAAGCAAGGGAAGUAACUUUAGAUUUAUGUUUUAAAAACCCCGUGCUGGUGGCAACAUGAAGAACAGAUUAGAAGGGGCUAGAAUGUAUGUGGGGAAGAUUGGUUGGGCGUAUACUGCAGUCUGAUAUGUGAUGGUGGAAGUGGAGAGAAGUAGGCAGAUUCUAGAGAUGUUUAGAAAUAUCCUGGCCAGGUGUGGUGGCUCAUGCCUGUAAUCUCAGCACUUUGGGAGGCUGGGAG
rnacentral:lncRNA from 1 species